ACGCACGCUGGCGGCGUGCUUAACCCAUGCAAGUCGCACGGAAAGGCCCUGCUUUUGUGGGGUGCUCGAGUGGCGAACGGGUGAGUAACACGUGAGUAACCUGCCCUUGACUUUGGGAUAACUUCAGGAAACUGGGGCUAAUACCGGAUAGGAGCUCCUGCUGCAUGGUGGGGGUUGGAAAGUUUCGGCGGUUGGGGAUGGACUCGCGGCUUAUCAGCUUGUUGGUGGGGUAGUGGCUUACCAAGGCUUUGACGGGUAGCCGGCCUGAGAGGGUGACCGGCCACAUUGGGACUGAGAUACGGCCCAGACUCCUACGGGAGGCAGCAGUGGGGAAUAUUGCACAAUGGGCGGAAGCCUGAUGCAGCAACGCCGCGUGCGGGAUGACGGCCUUCGGGUUGUAAACCGCUUUCGCCUGCGACGAAGCGUGAGUGACGGUAAUGGGUAAAGAAGCACCGGCUAACUACGUG
rnacentral:rRNA from 1 species